rnacentral:rRNA from 1 species
UACGUAGGAUGCAAGCGUUGUCCGGAAUUAUUGGGCGUAAAGAGCGCGUAGGCGGUGUGUCAAGUCAGGCGUGAAAGCCCCGGGCUCAACCUGGGAACCGCGCUUGAGACUGGCACGCUAGAGUUCGGGAGAGGAUGGUGGAAUUCCCAGUGUAGAGGUGAAAUUCGUAGAUAUUGGGAAGAACACCGAUGGCGAAGGCAGCCAUCUGGACCGACACUGACGCUGAGGCGCGAAAGCGUGGGGAGCAAACAGG